rnacentral:rRNA from 1 species
UUGUCUUCUAAAUAAAGACCAGUAUGAACGGCUAAAUGAGGACAAACCUGUCUCUUAUAACUAAUCAGUGAAACUGAUCUCUCAGUACAAAAGCUGAGAUAUAUACAUAAGACGAGAAGACCCCGUGGAGCUUUAAACAAACCGCCAAACUAACCCUGGCGCACUGUUUUAAGUUGGGGCGACUUCGGAAUAUAAUAAAACUUCCGAGCACAGAACCACCACUUCUAGCCAAGGCCAACAAGCCUAAGUAAACAACCCGACCCGGCUCACGCCGAUCAACGAACCAAGUUACCCCGGGGAUAACAGCGCUAUCUUCUUCAAGAGUCCCUAUCAACAAGAAGGUUUACGACCUCGAUGUUGGAUCAGGACACCCCAAUGGUGCAGCCGCUAUUAAAGGUUCGUUUGUUCAACGAUU